GCGCUUAAGCUUACCAUGAUGAUUGCAGAAGAGGAAGUACGACGAGUACGGUAUGAAAUAGGUUGGCAAAGAACACAGAGUCGUGUGUCGAGUUCGGUAUCGCAGUCCUCACCCUUGACUUGGCACUCUCACGAAUGAAAUGCACCAACAUGUUGUCAAGCUUCGUGGUCUGGAAGGGAUCUAGCUAGUGCGAGUAAGCUU
rnacentral:lncRNA from 1 species